GACGAACGCUGGCGGCGUGCUUAACACAUGCAAGUCGAACGGAAAGGCCCCUUCGGGGGUACUCGAGUGGCGAACGGGUGAGUAACACGUGAGUAACCUGCCCUUGACUUCGGGAUAACUUCAGGAAACUGGGGCUAAUACCGGAUAGGAAUCCUUGCUGCAUGGUGGGGGUUGGAAAGCUUCUGCGGUUUUGGAUGGACUCGCGGCUUAUCAGCUUGUUGGUGGGGUAGUGGCUUACCAAGGCUUUGACGGGUAGCCGGCCUGAGAGGGCGACCGGCCACAUUGGGACUGAGAUACGGCCCAGACUCCUACGGGAGGCAGCAGUGGGGAAUAUUGCACAAUGGGCGGAAGCCUGAUGCAGCAACGCCGCGUGCGGGAUGACGGCCUUCGGGUUGUAAACCGCUUUCAGCAGGGGCGAAGCUUGUGGUGACGGUACCUGCAGAAGAAGCACCGGCUAACUACGUG
rnacentral:rRNA from 1 species